rnacentral:rRNA from 1 species
UUUGAUCCUGGCUCAGGAUGAACGCUAGCGACAGGCUUAACAUAUGCAAGUCGAGGGGCAGCGGGGGCGAAGCUUGCUUCGCCUGCCGGCGACCGGCGCACGGGUGAGUAACACGUAUGCGACCUGCCCCCCGCAGGGGGAUAACCGGGAGAAAUCCCGACUAAUACCGCGUAACGCCGCGGGGCUGCAUGGCCCGGCGGCCAAAGGAAGCGAUUCCGGCGGGGGAUGGGCAUGCGGCGCAUUAGCUAGUCGGCGGGGUAACGGCCCACCGAGGCGACGAUGCGUAGGGGUUCUGAGAGGAAGGUCCCCCACACUGGUACUGAGACACGGACCAGACUCCUACGGGAGGCAGCAGUGAGGAAUAUUGGUCAAUGGGCGGGAGCCUGAACCAGCCAAGUCGCGUGAGGGAAGACGGUCCUAUGGAUUGUAAACCUCUUUUGCCGGGGAGCAACGGGGUCCUUGCGAGGGCCCAAUGAGAGUACCCGGAGAAAAAGCAUCGGCUAACUCCGUGCCAGCAGCCGCGGUAAUACGGAGGAUGCGAGCGUUAUCCNGGAUUUAUUGGGUUUAAAGGGUGCGUAGGCGGGCUGUUAAGUCAGCGGUCAAAUGUCGGGGCUCAACCCCGGCCUGCCGUUGAAACUGGCGGCCUCGAGUGGGGCGAGAAGUAUGCGGAAUGCGUGGUGUAGCGGUGAAAUGCAUAGAUAUCACGCAGAACUCCGAUUGCGAAGGCAGCAUACCGGCGCCCGACUGACGCUGAGGCACGAAAGCGUGGGUAUCGAACAGGAUUAGAUACCCUGGUAGUCCACGCAGUAAACGAUGAAUGCUAGCUGUCCGGGACUUCGGUCCUGGGUGGCACAGCGAAAGCGUUAAGCAUUCCACCUGGGGGAGUACGCCGGCAACGGUGAAAACUCAAAGGAAUUGACGGGGGCCCGCACAAGCGGAGGAACAUGUGGUUUNAUUUCGAUGAUACGCGAGGAACCUUNCCCGGGCUCAAACGCCNAAAGGACANCCGUUGAAANGCGGCCUCCCUCCGGGGUCUUUGGCGAGGUGCUGCAUGGUUGUCGUCAGCUCGUGCCGUGAGGUGUCGGCUUAAGUGCCAUAACGAGCGCAACCCCCAUCGACAGUUGCUAACGGGUGAUGCCGAGGACUCUGUCGAGACUGCCGGCGCAAGCUGCGAGGAAGGCGGGGAUGACGUCAAAUCAGCACGGCCCUUACGUCCGGGGCGACACACGUGUUACAAUGGCCGGUACAGCGGGAUGCCAGGGCGCGAGCCCGAGCGGAACCCGAAAACCGGUCUCAGUUCGGAUUGGAGUCUGCAACCCGACUCCAUGAAGCUGGAUUCGCUAGUAAUCGCGCAUCAGCCACGGCGCGGUGAAUACGUUCCCGGGCCUUGUACACACACCGCCCGUCAAGCCAUGGGAGCCGGGGGUGCCUGAAGUGCGUUACCGCGAGGGACGCCCUAGGGUAAAACCGGUGACUGGGGCUAAGUCGUAACAAGGUAACCG